AGAAAUCAGGGCUUUAAGCCCUUGGUUGAAAACCGGCCCAAGGCCAACCAAAACUAGGGCCCGAGCCCUUUGGGUUUUAAAAACAUAUAACUAAAAAUAAAAACUGAAUGGGUUAGGGUACUGGGCUAAGGCAACACGGGCCUAAGGCCCGAGGGAGAGGGAAAGGCCGGAUGGCCUGGGUUUGUCGAAGGAGAAGGCCGGAAUUUCGGCCGGAAAACCACCCAACUUUAAAUGGCCAUAACUUUGUCAAUACUCAACGAAAUCAAGCAAGACAAAAAUGAAAGUUGUAGCCCUUGAAGAGACGAAGAGAAUGGUACCUCACACAACGUCUAACUCGCCGUGGUUUGGCCGGAACAUGCCUCGAAAUCCGUCGGACUCGCCAGAAACUGGGUAAGAUUCAAAUGAGUAUAACUUCUUCAAUACUCAACGAAAUUAAGUGAAACAAAAAGGAAAGUUGUAGUACUCGACGAGACGAAGAGAUUGAUACCUUACACGCCGGCCAACUCGCUGUGGUUUGGCCGGAAAUGACCUCGAAAGGGGCGGUGCUCGCCGGAGCUUACUCCGUGCCGUCGAACUCGCAGGGCAGGGUCCGGGGUUCGUUGCGAGCCUCUCUUCGAUGGUGACUCGGUCCUAGUGAGUCCAGGGGAAGAGAGAGAUGCGAGAGGUUGAGGGAGAGAGAGACGGGAGAGCUGAGAAGGAGAGAGCUACGGGAGGGAGAAACGAAGAAGAAGAAGAGAGAGAUCAGAAAACAUAAAAAAAUAAACAAGGUGGGCCCCACGGGCUCACCAAUUAAGGCUUUAAAACAAUUUUAAAAUAUAAAAGAGGGUUGGGGUGUUUCAUCUUUCCUAAAAGAUAUCAAAGGUCGAAUUCGGAGCUUGGACGCCAAAUAGACAAAUUCCCGAGCGUCCUUUUGUCUGACAGUUCAUCUCCUCCUCAAUCCAUUCAGCUAUUUGUUUUACAUCAGAAAGAUUUAUGUUAACUUAUCAUCUCGCGUCUAAAAUUAUGAGCUCUAAGAAAGAGGAGAGUUACCAUUCGAUGGUAAGUGCCCAUUGGCUUUGGGCCUUACAUGUUUCCAAAUGAAACCAGUGCGCACUUUAGCCCAUUCAACCAAGUCCAAUCUGAAUCGCUUUGACCGAACAGCGAAGUGACAAUGGAGGGAGGGUGGGCGUUGACCUGCAAUCUCAGCAUCCCUCCAAUUCAAACAAUUUCUGAAGACCAGGUAUUUCACUUUCGUCGGAUGUUAAUGGCUGCUUCUUCUUGUUCUUCGUCUUCAUCCUACAGUAGUUGGAAAUAUAUGAUGUAUUCCUGAAUUUUAGAGGGGAAGACACUCGCAAGAUCUUCAUCGGCCAUCUCUACAGAGCUCUGAAUCAGAAAGCAAUCAACACCUUCAUUGAUGGCGAAGAGCUUCGAAAAGGCAACGACCUUUCGGAGCUCCUUACAGCUAUUACCGACUCGAGGCUAUCGAUUGUAGUUUUUUCCGAAAACUACGCUUCUUCGACGUGUUGCUUGAAAGAACUCGUCCAGAUACUGGAAUGCAUGGACACACAAAAGCAGAUAGUGGUGCCUGUUUUCUACGAAGUGGAUCCAUCCGAUAUUCGUAAACUGGAGGGAAGUUUUGAUGCAGUGCAUAAGGAGUUUAUUCAACGGGGCUUUUGGUAUUUUGGUGUUCAGCCAUUCCGUUAAUUAUUAAUUUGAGAUUCAUGUAUCUUAGGUUGUGAUGUAAUGUUUUGCAGUAAUUUUGAUGCAAAAUUAAGUGGCUAGGUGGAACAAUUGUCAUUUAUUAUGUUUCGGGGGCUUAGGGAGUUGUAUUUGCAUUGAUGAAGAUGUUUUGACACACUAGUAUAUUAGGGAGGGAGUUUAAUAUGCUAAAGGGGACAAUUUGGAAUUAUAAUUUUAUGGUAACCAAGAAUUAAGUAUUGCUCUUCUAUCAUUUUUCUGUCAAGCCUCGUGUAUUUUUUGACACCUCCUCUAUCUCUUUUUCGUUCUGCAUUAAGUUUUGCAGAAGCUUUUGCUAAACAUGAAAGUUAUUCUAACGUUAACAGGAAGGAGGUGCAGAGCUAGCGGUCUGUUCUUGCUAGAGCCACCGAUUUAUCCGGUUGGGAUUCAAAAUAUUGUAAGUGAGUUUAAUUUGUCCGCAUGCACUUGAUAUUAAUGUAUUUUGACAGUAUAAAUCCACGGUUUUGAUCACAACUAACUUCCUUACAUAUAGAUGGCUAAGCGUUCACCAAUUUGAUUAGUUUUUGCAUAUUUAUGAUCAAGAAAAUUAACGUAUUUUUACUGUACAAAUCCGGGGUUUUAGUCACAACAAGUAUUGCCCUUCUAAUUGUUCAGUUUUAGUUUUCUAUUUUGGGCUUGUUAUAAAACUCAGCUUUGCUUUGACUCUUUCGCGAUGCUGGUUCUAAACCUUCACAGGGAUGAUGCCAAUCUUAUUGAAGAUAUUGUAGAGGAUAUCUUUAGCAAAUUGAUCCACAUCUCAUCAAGCAAAGCCAAUGGCUCGGUUGGAAUGGAUUACCACAUAGAUGAAAUGAAGUUAUUAUUACGUCCUGGGGCGAAUGAUGUUUUCGCUGUUGGAAUAUGGGGUUUGGGAGGUAUAGGCAAAACCACCAUUGCUCGCACUGUUUGUGAUGAAAUUGCUUGUCAAUUUGAAGCUUGCUGCUUUCUUGAAAAUGUUAAAGGAAGGCUUCUCAAAUACUGGUGCAGUACAUAUGCAGGAAGUGCUUCUUGUUGUGAUUGGCUCAUAUUUUGAGCAAUUAACAAUUAAGUGACUUUGUGUGUUAUGCUUUCGGAGUAGUGACCAAAUGUGGCCAUAUCUCAUUUCGGCUAAUAGUGGAAGACAAUGAUGAUGUUUGCUUGGGAUUCUUUUGUUUUGGCCUUUUUUCUUGGUUUCCCAUUUGCAUGCCACGCGUGAGUGGCUUUGGGGUUUGAGUAAAAGGCAAAGGGAGCAUGAUGCAUCAUCAUUAUGUCUGUGGAAAAAGGAAAGGUUGAUUCAUUUUUCUUCUCCAUUUAGCUGCAAAGAGCCGAAGAGGAGAGGGUGUGAGAGAGAGCAUCCGAAGGAGAACACAAAGGAGAGAAAAUAUAGAGCGAGAGUGAGAAACUCUUGGGGAGAGUGAAGCUCUUAGUAAAAUUUUGUAAGGGUACAAGGGAUUGGAGUUUGGGUUAUGUUGAUUUAACUCAAGUGUAUAUUGUAUUAGUUAUUCUCAUAGUGAAGAGCAAUAUCUCUUGGAGGACGUAGGCAGAUUUUUGCCGAACCUCGUAAAUUUCUCAGUGUAUUUAUUUCUUGUAAUUUAAACUGUUCAACUGUGGGUCUGUAGUUUGGUGAGGCAAUCUAAAUCUCACUUCCACACUGACGAACGGCCAAGGCACAACACUUCUUUCUAGAAUAUUGAAGGAAAAGGUGCGGAGUUUAGGCAUGUUGGAUCGAGGUUCCAAAAUGAUAAUGAAAAGGCUACGAAGGAAAAAAAAAUUUCAUUGUUCUUGAUGACGUUGACAAAUUAUCCCAAAUCAAAGCCUUACUUGGAAAGCAGCAUUCAUUUGGUGGUGGAAGUAGAAUCAUUAUAACAACAAGAGAUAUGCAAUUGAUAAGUGGAGCCGAUGUUGUAUAUAAGCCCAAGAAAUUAAAUGAGCCUGAAGCUCUUGAACUCUUCAGCCAGUAUGCCUUUAAAACCAACCAACCCACAAGAGAUUAUGAUCGUCUCUCGAGGCUUGCCAUACAACAUGCUCAUGGUGUGCCCUUAGCGCUUAAAGUCUUGGGAGCUUUGCUUGAUGACAGAAGUGUAUUGGAGUGGGAAGAUGUGUUGAAGAAAACAAAGAAAACCCAGCUCAUGGGAAUUCAGGAUGUUAUUAGAAAGAGCUUUGAUGGGUUAGAUGACUCAGAGAAGGAUAUAUUUCUAGAUAUUGCAUGUUUCUUUAAAGGGAUGGAGAAAGACUAUGUAACUAAAAUUCUUGAUAGUUGUGGCUUUUAUCCCCAUAGUGGAUUAGGAGUACUAAUUAAUAGAACUCUCAUCACUAUAUCAGAUUACGAUACGCUUAAGAAGCAUGAUUUACUGCAAAAUAUGGGGUGGGAAAUAGUCCACCAAGAAUCUAAUAAAGAUCUUGGAAGACAAAGCAGGUUAUGGAUUUAUGAAGAUUUUCAUCGUGUAUAAACGCAAAAUACGGUGAGAUAAAUUCAUUACCUCUUUCUUUUAAGCAUGUAGUAUUGAGUAGAAAGCAGAAGUAUGAUAAAUAUCAAAUUUGGAUAUUUUCACUCAUUGAAUUUCUACUGUUUGGUUAUCUAGGCUACAGAAGCAGUGGAUUUAUACUUUGUGCAGGUUGCUUGAUGAAAGGGAAAACAAUUGUAGACACGUAUACUUUGUUGGAGUUGGAAACAUCUUCCAAUAGGCUUAAUCAUUUAAUGCGUUGCCAGAUUGGUUUAAUACAAGGUUGUAAUAUCUACUCUUCUCUACUUUACCUCAUGUAAGCUUCAAAGAUAUGUAGGAACGCUUCUGAUUCCGAGAAUAAAAGGUACCUACUUUUAAUGUGAAAGAUUUUUGUCACUUUGGCCUGAAAUUCUUCAUUUAAGUGACUGUUGGAGGUUUCGGAUGGUAUUCCCCAUUUAUCUUCCUUGUAAAUAUAUAUUAAAGCUUGCAGAAAUCUUUUUGAGAGCUUAUCUGCAACACUGAAUCGAUUUGUUGUUUAACAACUCUCAAAUUGGAAGCUUGCAACUUAUAGAGAUGCGGGGAUGCUUGUGUUGUCUAUUGACUAUUGUGUAUAUCCGUAGUAAGUCAACAAACCCUAAUCCCAGCUCCUUGAGCUCGGAAGAAACUUUGGAUCCACGCUCUGUUGGCGGAAACUUUGUGAUCUGUGACCGUGUGGUUAAUCGUAAUGCAUAGAAGGGACUGGUGGUGAAAGACGGAGAAGACGUACUAGGUAUAUGGUUUGGGCAAACACAGCUGCAUCACAUCAGAAGAUGCGGAGUUCGUUUCUUUAUAUACUAACCGUGCGGAGGUGCAAACCAAAGCAUGGCGCAGCCUAAAAAAUCAUCAUGAAAACCCUGAAGUGGAACUUCGUGUUAGUCUGACCAAUGUGUCGCCCUGGAUAACCACGGUUGGAGAUAGGGAUUUUCCAGCUACCGUGAAGCUCGGAAAUGGCAGGACUAUUACCGGGGUUUCGCUCUACAGGGGAAGGAUGAAGCUGUCAACAAACAAGCAAUACCCUGUUGUGUAUUUGGGAAGCAAUUCAACUAUUCAUAAUCCGAGCUCGCUCAGUUUGGAGGGGACGUUGGAUCGCCAAGUUGUGGCCGGAAAGAUUGUGAUUUGCGACCGUGGGAUUAGUCCUAGAGUGCAGAAGGGAGAAGUGGUGAAAAAAGCCGGAGGAGUUGGGAUGAUCUUGGCAAACAUAGCUGCAAACGGAGAGGAGCUUGUGGCGGAUUGCCACCUUGUUCCGGCGGUUGCUGUGGGAGAGAACGAAGCAAAGGGAAUCAAGCAUUAUGCUUCAACAAGCCCGAGAGCCACCGCAACUCUAACAUUUCUUGGAACUAGAGUUGGGGUUAGACCGUCGCCUGUGGUGGCAGCGUUUUCAUCCAGAGGGCCUAAUCUGGUAAGCCUUGAUAUUCUCAAGCCGGAUAUGGUGGCACCAGGAGUGAACAUCAUCGCCGCUUGGACAGGCGGAUUGGGCCCGUCCAGCUUGCCAGCAGAUCGUAGAAGGGUGAAGUUCAAUAUACUGUCCGGGACUUCAAUGUCCUGCCCCCAUGUGAGCGGCAUUGCCGCUCUACUCAAGGCAAGGCACCCGGAUUGGAGUCCGGCUGCAAUAAAGUCCGCCUUGAUGACAACCGCGUAUGUCCACGACAACACGCGAAAGCCUCUACAAGACUCCUCAGCAGCUUCAAUUUCAACCCCGUAUGAUCACGGUGCAGGGCACAUAAACCCGGUUAGGGCUCUUGACCUGGGAUUGAUUUACGACAUUGAGGCGCAGGACUAUCUUGAAUUCCUCUGCACACAAAGGCUAACACCAACCCAGCUCAAAGUUUUUACCAAGUACUCAAACAGAAGUUGCAAGAACAAUCUAGCCAGUCCCGGGGAGUUGAACUAUCCGGCACUUUCGGUUGUGUUCCCGGAGAGAACAAAUGUUUCUGUUUUGACACUUCACAGAACUGUCACUAACGUUGGCCCUGCGGUUUCGAAUUACCACGCCAUUGUUUCACCGUUCAAAGGUGCUUAUGUGAAAGUCGAGCCUCGGACGCUGAAAUUCACCAAAGCCAAUCAGAAGCUGUCAUACAAAAUCAUCUUCACUACGAAAUCCCGGCAGGCAGUCCCGGAGUUCGGAGGGUUGGUGUGGAAGGAUGGAGUGCAUAGGGUGAGAAGCCCCAUUGUUGUAGUGUGGCUGCCACCACUAUAAAUCCUGCACCGGAUUAAUUUCAAUGUGUGUUUUUAUUAAUGCUUUUUUGAAUAAACAAAUUUUCUGUAAUAGUUAGUAUCCUUCCUCUGCUUCUUGCUGUGAUCUUCUAGCUACUGUCAACCUUAGAACACGGGCGAAACAACGAUGUGCAGUGAAAACGUAGAUUAAGCAAGUUCAAAUCACAUUGAUGUUGUUAAUUAGAAGAUUGAGAACUAGAUCAGAAUAAUUUCUUAAUUUGCUCAAUUUCCAUAUUGAUUCACAUGUUUCUGCACUAUUUUUAUAAGCCACGACUCAUAAGCACUUAGUAGGAGUUCUGGUAGUUUUUGCAGGAUGAUAAUUUCAGACAUGCACGAAACAAAUCAAAUUUAAACACGACAUGUUGUAGGAAUCGAGAUCCACGAUAUUUGUAACCGCAUAAAUAUGAAGAUUUUAUGGUAGGUUAUCCCUUACCGAAAUUUCAACUUGUCCAACGGAUCAAGUGCAUUUGAUAUUCGAGAUGUCUCACUAAUUGUGUGAAUAUUUCAAUUUGGAUAUGUCUCCAGUUAUACACAAGUUUUUCUCCGAACUGUUUGAGUACAAUUUGGAUCAAUACCGUCAUGAACAGCUUAUGCUACUGAAUUCUAAUCACGAUGGCUUCACCCUUACAAACUAAACUCAUAAAAUGGGAUUUUCUUUUGAUGAUAAAAAAAAAAACACAUUAAUGCUGGCGGGCCGUGGGCCUAUUUGGACUCAUUAUGAUGGGCCUUUUAAAAAUUUAAAACCAGGCUAGUCCAAUUCGUAUUUGAAUUUCCCAAUAUGUUGAAGAAUUAUUUUAAAAUGAUGUUAUUUAGACACUCAUUUUUUCUUUUCACACAUUUCUCUCGAUUUUCGGCAGUCUAAUCAAAUAAGUUGAAGAAGAUCAAAUGAAAAAAUUAAUAAGAAUAUGUGAGAGGUAAAAAAUAUGUGUGAAUAGCACUACCCUUAUUUUAUUACUAGCCUCUUUCUUUUGCAUUUGAUUUUUUUUUUGGAUACUUUAUUCUUUUUUUUUUAAAUUGGCUUAAUUUUAUAUUUAGAAUAAAUUCAACAAAAAAAGCCAUUAACUUCUCAGUAAGAAGCGGUUAUUUCUUUUCAAUUUUUAAUUACUAAACUGUUAUUUAAAAUUUACUAGAAUAUGCUACGCACAAACCAUGUGUGAAUUUUUUGUUUUUGUUUUAAAAUUAAAGAAGAGCAGCAAGAGAGUGAGAGAGAACGUGAGAGUGAGGAGAGAAAGGAUUAUAAUUUUGUUUGUAAUAUUACGUUAUUGCCUUUAACUUUUUUAUUGUAAUAAUAAUCUUUUCAUCAUCUUUUAAUAGACAAAGAAAUUUUUAUUAAUAUGUAGUUUAGUUAUAAUAAAAAUAAAAAUAAUGCCUUUUUAGCAUUAGUAAUGUUCCAACAAAGUUUAUUAUUAUUUUUCAUAUUCCGCCCCCCCCUUUUUUCUUCUUAUUUUUUUGGUAAUUUUUCUGGUUUGUUUUAAUGUUUUUUUUACAAAAAUACCCUUGGAGAUGAGAAAUCAAAUUUUCACGUUAGUUUUGGAUUUUUUUUAAUUCAGGGUUUUUUUUAGUCCAAUUGUUUCUUGUGAAACCUUGUGACUUUAAAGAAAAGUUUUGGCUUCCCAACAAUAAUUUUUUUUUUUAACAAGUGAUAUUAUCUGUACUAAGAGGAAUGGUGAAGUUAGCAUCACAAUGAGCUAGCAAUAACAUAAUUCAAAUUCAUCUUUAACGAGGAAUUAGAAGUAAAAAGUAAUACUACUAGACCGUAAUAUUAAGUUGCAAUAGUGAAGAUAAAUUAUUAUUAUUUUUAUGUCUAAACUUAGUAGAAAGAAACUCAUUGUGGUUGACUCAUUGACUUUCCGACCAUUUUACAUAGAUUUCUCUCUUUCAAAUUUUAUGGAAUUACAUUUUUUUGGGAUAGUGCUAGGAAACCACCUAGUAAAAAGAAACUCAUUUUCGUUGACUCAUUUGACUUCCCGACCAUUUUAUAGAGUUUUUACUUUCAAAUUUUAUAAAAUUAUAUAUAUUUUUUAUAAUAAUUUUUUUUUUUGUUGAAUUUUUUUAUAAUAAUGUUAAGGAAAUCAAAAUUUUAAACUAAAUUUGCAAGUUAAAUGAUAUGUUAUUAAUUAAAAACAUCACAUUAAUCGACAUUUAAUGAAUAAUCUAAUCAUCUACAACUAUAACAUAAUUUAUAAAUUUAACUUAAAAAAUUUAAUUUUCUUAACAUUACUUUUUUUUUCUUCUUCUUGGUUUUGGUCAAGUGAACAUUCCAUUAAUAUUUCUUUAAAACAAACAAACAAAAAAACACAAGGGAGCAAAACAAGGCCCUAAAAACAGAGACUAGGCCCAAACAGAAACAAAGCUCAAAGAACAACAAAACCCCAGCAGCAGAGAAGCUGUUGGAGUCGUCGUCCCCAUCGCCGCACUGGUAGCUGACCAUCUGCUGUGGAUACUGUCCCUGUCAGAUGUCAAUGGCUGCUUCUUCCUCUUCCUCAUGGAAAUACGACGUAUUCCUGAAUUUCAGAGGCGAAGACACUCGCAAGAUCUUCGCCGGCCAUCUCUACAGAGCUCUGAAUCAGAAAGCAAUCAACACCUUCAUCGACGCGGAAAAGCUCAGAAAAGGCAACGACCUUUCGGAACUCCUUUCAGCCAUCGAAGAGUCAAGGCUUUCGAUCGUGGUUUUCUCCCAGAACUACGCUUCUUCGACGUGGUGCUUGAAAGAACUGGUCAAAAUCCUGGCGUGCAUGGAUACAAAGAAUCAGAUAGUGGUGCCGAUCUUCUACCAAGUCGAUCCAUCUGAAGUACGCAAGCUCAAGAGAAGUUUUGCAGAAGCUUUUGCUCAACACGAACGCGAAUCGAACGCCGAAAUGGAAGAGGUGAAGAGCUGGAGGUCCGCACUAACCAGAGCCACCAAUUUAUCCGGAUGGGAUUCGCGAAAAUACGAGUAAUUACUGUUCAAUUAUAUUCUUAAUUACUAUUGAAUUGGGAUUGUUAAAGCAUCUAGUUUAAUUCGGUGCUGUUUUUCAAAUUACACAGGGAUGAUGCCAAGCUUAUUGAGGAAAUUGUGGAUGACAUAUUUAAGAGAUUGAACCAAGUCUCGUCAAGCAAAGAUAAUGGCUUGGUUGGAAUGGAUUACCACAUGGAUGAAGUGAAUUCACUAUUACGUCCUGAGGUGAAUGAUGUUUUCACUGUUGGAAUAUGGGGUAUGGGAGGUAUAGGCAAAACCACCAUCGCUCACGCUGUUUAUGAUGAAAUCGCUUGUCAAUUUGAAGCUUGCUGCUUUCUCGAAAAUGUCAAGGAAGGCUUCUCGAAAAAUGGUGCAGUACAUAUGCAGGAAGUGCUUCUUUCUAGAAUCUUGAAGGAAAAGGUGCAGAGUUUAGGCACGUUGGAUCAAGGUUCCAGAGUGAUAAUGGAAAGGCUACAAAGGAAAAAGGUUUUCAUUGUUCUUGAUGACGUUGAUGAAUUAUCCCAAAUCGAAGGCUUACUUGGAAAGCAGCAUUCAUUUGGCAGUGGAAGUCGGGUCAUUAUAACAACUAGAGAUAGGCAAUUACUAAGUGGAGCUGUUGCGGUUUAUAAGCCCAAGAACUUAAGUGAGCCAGAAGCUCUUCAACUCUUCAAGCGGUAUGCCUUCAGAACAAACCAGCCCACCAAAGUUUAUGAUCAGCUCUCAAGGCAUGUCGUACAAUACGCUCAACAUCUGCCUUUAGCACUCAAAGUCUUGGGAGCUUUUCUUCAUAACAAAACUGUACGCGAGUGGGAAGAUGUGUUAGAAAAAAUAAGGAAGAUCCCGCAAAGGGGAAUUCAUGAUGUGCUUAAAACAAGCUUCAAUGGACUAGAUGAUUCAGAGAAGGACAUCUUUCUAGAUAUUGCAUGUUUCUUCAAAGGAAUGGAUAUAGACACAGCAAAAAAAAGUCUGGACAGUUGUGGCUUCUAUCCUCAUACUGGAAUAAGAGUUCUAAUUGAUCGAGCUCUAAUAUCUGUCUCAAUGUGGGGGACACUGGAGAUGCAUGAUUUACUAGAGGAAAUGGGUCGGGAAAUCGUUCGCCAAGAAUGUAUCAAAGAGCCUGGGAGAAGAAGUAGGUUGUGGAGUUAUGAAGAUGUUCGUCAUGUGCUGACUCAAAAUACAGUGAGAUCUUUUUCAUAUGCAAUGUUUCGUAGAAAGCUUCAGCUUUUGACCGAAAUCUAUUUUAUAGCAAACAUGCAUUGUUUAUAAUAUUCAAUAAGGUUCUUGGUGUUUUCCUUCACUUAGAUUUACAUUGUUGGUUUAUCCAGGCUACAGAAGCAGUUGAAGGCAUAAUCCUGGAUUCAGCAAUCUUUAAAGAGGGAUGCUCAAAUGCUGAAGCUUUUGUUAGUAUGACAAAACUAAGACUGCUCAUGAUCCGUGAUUGCUUCAUAGAACACUGGAUUGCGGACUUAAAGUUCCAAUCUUCUCAGCUGAGGUGUCUCGUCUGGCGUGGUUGCCCCCUCAAGUCUUGGCCAUCCAACUUCCAGUUCAAGAAUCUUGUAAACCUUGACAUGAUGAAUAGUUGCAUCGAACAACUUUGGAAAGGAGCUGAGGUAUGAUUUUUCAUUUACGUAAAUAUAUUUAUUUUCAAUGUUUAGGUUCUGAGAUGUGUUGUGCAUGUUUUCUUGGACUUUUUAACAGCCUCUGGAAAAGUUGAAAUUCAUCAAUUUAAGUUAUUGUGAAUACCUUAAGAAAACCCCCGACUUCACAAAGGCUACAAGUCUUGAGGAACUAAAUUUUGAAGGUUGUACAGGGUUAUAUGAGGUUGACCCAUCUAUUUCAGCUCUGAAAAGCCUUGCUGUAUUGAAUCUACGAGAUUGUCGAGAACUCAAGAGCCUGCCGAGCAGCAUUCAUAUGGGAUCUCUUCAAACCUUUAUUCUUUCGGGUUGCUCAAACCUUGAGAAGUUUCCAGAUAUUUCAGAUGUUAUGGAGAGUCUGUCAGAGCUUCAUUUAGAUGAGACUGCAAUUAAAGAACUGCCUUUGUCAAUUAAUAAACUCACGGGCCUUACUGUUUUGGACCUAUGUGGGUGUCAAGAACUCAAAAGCCUGCCGAGCAGCAUUCAUAUGGGAUCUCUUCAAACCCUUAAUCUAAGAGGCUGUCGAGAACUCAAGAGCCUGCCGAGCAGCAUUCAUAUGGGAUCUCUUCAAACCCUUAAUCUUUCUGGUUGCUCAAACCUUGAGAUGUUUCCAGAGAUUUCAGAAGUUAUGGAGAAGCUGUCAAAGCUUCAUUUAGAUGGGACUGCAAUUAAAGAAUUGUCUUCGUCAAUUAAUAAACUCACGGGCCUUACAAUUUUGGACCUAAGAGGCUGUCGAGAACUCAAGAGCCUGCCAAGCAGCAUUCAUAUGGGAUCUCUUCAAACCCUUAAUCUUUCUGGUUGCGCAAACCUUGAUGUGUUUCCAGAUAUUUCAGAAGUUAUGGAGAAGCUGUCAAAGCUUCAUUUAGAUGGGACUGCAAUUAAAGAACUGUCUUCGUCUAUUAAUAAACUCACGGGCCUUACAAUUUUGGACCUAAGAGGCUGUCGAGAACUCAAGAGCUUGCCGAGCAGCAUUCACAUGGGAUCUCUUCAAACCCUUAAUCUUUCUGGUUGCUUAAACCUUGAGAUGUUUCCAGAGAUUUCAGAAGUUAUGGAGAAGCUGUCAAAGCUUCAUUUAGAUGGGACCGCAAUUAAAGAACUGUCUUCGUCAAUUAAUAAACUCACGGGCCUUACAAUUUUGGACCUAAGAGGCUGUCGAGUACUCAAGAGCCUGCCGAGCAGCAUUCAUAUGGGAUCUCUUCAAACCCUUAAUCUUUCUGGUUGCUCAGACCUUGAGAAGUUUCCAGAUAUUUCAGAUGUUAUGGAGAAGCUAUCAAAGCUUUAUUUAGAUGGGACUGCAAUUAAAGAAUUGCCUUCGUCAAUUAAUAAACUCACGGGCCUUACUGUUUUGGACCUAUUUGGGUGUCAAGAACUCAAGAGCCUGCCGAGCAACAUUCAUAUGAGAUUUCUUCAAACCCUUAAUCUGUCUGGUUGCUCAAACCUUGAGAAGUUUCCAGAGAUUUCAGAUGUUAUGGAGAAGAUAUCAGAGCUUGAUUUAGAUGGGACUGCAAUUAAAGAACUGCCUUCAUCAAUUAGAAACAUUCCAAGGCUUUUAUCAUUGAAACUAAGAGAUUGCAAAAAACUUAAGAGUCUUCCAAGCAGCAUUUGUGAUCUCAAGUCCCUUCAGUAUGUUGGUCUUUCUGGUUGUGCAAAGUUUGAGGUGUUUCCAAAUAUUGUAGAAAAGAUGCGACUAAGAGAACUUCACUUGCACGGAACAUCUAUCAAAAGAAUUCCACCGUCAAUUGAAUGUCUUCAUGGGCUUGUGUUACUGAAUCUGAGAAACUGCAAAAGCCUUGGCAGUCUUCCAGAGGAUCUCUGUAAUUUGGUUUCCCUUACUGUUCUCACUCUCUCUGGAUGCUCAAAGCUUCAAAACUUGCCGGAGAAGUUGGGAAAGUUAGAGUCCUUGUGGAACCUUGAAGUAGAGGGAAGUGGUAUAAAACAACUCCCACUUUCUUUAUUACGUUUGAACAAGCUUACAAAGUUAUCAUGUCAUGGAUGUAAAGAAAUGACGGCACCCUUUUCAUCAUGGUCAACAUCAAUGGAAGAUUGUAGUCACCGUGGUCUGGUAUAUCUUGAUUUAAGUGACUGCAAUCUGUUGCAAUUAUCUGGUAUUGCUCAUUUGUCAUCAUUGAAAACAUUAGACCUGUGCAGAAACAAUUUUGAGAGUUUGCCUGCAGAAAUGAAUCGACUUCAUCGUUUAACAGAUCUCAAAUUGGAAGGUUGCAAGAGACUGAAAUCAAUACCAGAGCUUUCAUCAAGUAUAAGUUUCAUAGAUGCCCAUGAUUGCACAGCUUUGGAAUCUGUUUCAAGACCAAAGCUUCCUUACAUGAAUCUUUACUUCACAUUUUCAAACUGCUUCCAGCUGGUGCAAAAUCAAUUUGAAUAUAUUGUGGAAGCUCAUCAGGUCUCUCUCUCUCUCUCUCUUUCUGUCUCUCCCUCACCCCUCCCCCCCCCCCCCCCCCCCGGGGUGUGAAAAGACAAAACAUAUCUAAUGCAAGUUCAGUUUACCUUUGUUUUCGUUCUGUAGGGUAAUCUGCAACCGCUUUCCUUGUUUAUGUGUCUUCCUGGAAGUAAACUUUCAGAUUGGUUCAGCCAUCAGUGUGUUGGAUCUUCAGUAACUGUCCAUCUACCACCAGUGUCGGAUCAUAAGAUUUUGGGAUUCGCUGUGUGCGCUGUUACCAAGUUCAAGUAUACACAUUAUACAUCUGAUCUAUCUGCUCCGUGUUUUUGUACCUUCAAAGGAGAGCAUGGCGAGUGCAGUUUCAGAUUUGAUUUGAUUGAUUGGAGCUUCGCAUGUGGCAGGUUACUUGAGUCAGAUCACAUGUUCAUGGUAUAUAUUCCAUGGGAAAAUGGAGUGCAGCUAAGUGAGCGCUAUCCCACUGAGGCCACAUUUAGAGUUGAACUAAAAGAUGGAGUCCAAACACGUGAUUUUGUGGCACCAGUUCAGCAGCAUCACAUCAGAAGGUGUGGAGUUCGUCUCUUUUAUGCCAAUCGUGAAGAGUUGCAUAAUUGAAGCAUGACACAGCCCGACUAUCUAUCAUGAAAAUUCUGAAGCGGAACUUCAUGCUUUUGACAAAUCACUGGCAAGAGUUGCUCAUUCUAAGAUGAACCCUGAGGGGUGUUGCUAUAACGGGGCUGAACAAAGUGGAAGUGAUACCCCUGACGCGGAGGAUUUAGGUCUAAAAGAUUGGUACUUCCUGAUGGGGGGAAAGGAAAACUGAAGAGAAAUAAUUGGGAGCUGCUGCAUUUAAGGUUCUGUAAGAGUGAAACCAAUUAGAGAUUGUUUUAGUUGCAGAGAGACAAUUUUGUUUGUAAUUCGUUCUUUCCCUCUUCUAUUUGUAAGUGUAUUUGGGUGUUUUGGGUUUGAGUUUGAGAGCACUCUUUGUAAUCUCCCUUUGUUUAUUAGUGGAACUUCCUCGCUGUCCCCGAACUGGAUGUAGGCUUACGCCAAACCAGUAUAAAUCUUUGUGUCAUUUUGAAUUUGUUUGUUUUGUCAUAUUUUUCCGUAUUAGUUUAUUGGGUUCAAAUUAGCGCUUCCGCACAACACUUUGAACCCAGUGAAGGUGGAGAAGAGCUUCUUGUAUUUGGAAGUCCCAAUUCAGAUCAUUUGAGUCAUCUAAUCUGACAUUGACAGAGGUGGAGAGGAGCUUGUUGUAAUGUUAAUUCAGCAUUCAGAGGUGGAGAGGAGCUUGUUGUAAUGUUAAUUCAACAUUAGAACAAGAGAAAUAGCUCCAAGUGCUGAAAUUGAAGAAUUCAGUUGCGAACACAUUUAUGUUUCUCAUCAGAACAAGAUUAAUUAGAAUAAUUAAGUUUUUAAUCGCCCAGUUCCGUCCCGUAUGAAUUUUGAAUAUGGAGGACGUGUUUCUGCAUUGUUUUCAAUUGUCCCAAGCACUUUGUAGAGCUGUAGUAACUUUGCAGUCACAAGACAUAAAUACCAAAGUACCCUUAAUUACUCUUCCAAAUGUCUCAGGUUUGUGUUGACAUGAACAUGAGAUUUUUCAAUAUGAUGGGCACUUAGUUCAGUAGACCAAAUUUAAUAAUAUAAUUUGUUGAAAACUUGCAAAAAAAAAAAUUCUAACGAAUUGUAUUAUCAUGCUUGUGUACCAAGUAGUGUGUCAUUCACACGAAAAAACUUCUCGACAUGAGCACAACCCAAAGGCAUCACUAUUAGUUACUCAUAAGAAUACAAAGUUUACAUUAAAGGACAAGAUUAAACUUAUCAUUUUCAACUUAAAUGACUUGCACACAAAUUAUCUAGUUACGCGAUUGUGUAAGCGUGCUAAAGUGUAAUUCACUUUCGGAUUAGGUGGGUUGGAUGGAAACACAAACUCUUAUUAACCAUGUUAAAUGGAUCAACGCGAUUAUGCCCAACUCAAACAAAUUUAUUUUUUGUCCUUUUCAAGUCGGAUUGUCGAAUCUAUCAAAAAUGGUUACCUCUACUCUUUCUUGGCAUUUUCUACCUAAAUUCGAACAAAAACAAUGAAAGGUACAUCCGAACAAAAAUACAAUAAAAGGUACUCAUCCAACAACUUUCAUAUUUUUAAUAGAAAAACGCGCAUUAUUCUUGUCAUCGACUUUCUUAGGCUACAUUUUUCUCCUGCAAUGGGUUUUUAUUUCGGAGGGUUGGUGUGGAAGGAUAGGAGUGCACAGGGUGAGAAGCCCUAUUGUUGUAGUGUCGCUGCCACCACUAUAAAUCCUGCACUGGAUUUUUGUUUCUUUUUUUUUCGUGAAUUAAUUGCAAUGUGUGUUUUUAUUGAGUAAACAAGUUUUGUAGCUAACAGCAUAUAUACCAAAGAUUUCAGAGUAGAAUUGUUAUUACCCUCAUUAGAUUAAAAGUCAAAGAACCAUUAAUCGUCCGUUUUAUGAUUACUAUGCGGUUGGAUAUGACACGUAUAUGAGAUGCUUACACUUAACCGGAGAUAUUCUGGUCACCUUAACUCACUUUUCAUGUGAUUGGGGAGAUUGAGAUCAUUUUCGUUUCAUAAAGAGGGUGUUAGGUAUGCAAGUGCAGAUUCAACAUAAUUGAACAAAUAUUGGUUAGUGUAGAUUCGUAUACACUUAUAUAUAUAUAUAUAUAUAUAUAUAUAUAUAUAUAUUUUUACAUUUUUGUUUGGUUACACUAGAGUUGUAUUUACCUUUUUGUUUCAAUAAAAUUUCACCUCGCACAGUCGAGGUUUCUUUAACAAAAAAAGAAGUGUAGAUUAAUAUAGAAUAUUAUUCACUAAAAAUACAGUCAUACAAAUUAAACUUAUAGAGAUUUGCAGAUGACACUUUACCACAACAACAAAAAAUAGUAAUGCUUAUACACCUUGAUGUGUCGAUCUUUACGAAUUUUCUUCUUCUUUAAUAUCUAAUUACCUAAACCGCCAAUACGGCUCUACUCUAAAAUUUAAUAAUAAAUAAAAAGAAGGGGCAGUAAGAUCGCUGAAUUUCAAAACCAGUUUAGCGUACUUUGGCCUGGUCCCUUCGUGCAAAGCUGCUAAACCACCCUUCCUUCGCAUUUCUACGGCCGAAGUAUGCAGCUUCGUUUCACACUGAAAUUUUUUAUAUCCAUUCCUGGAAGAACGUUAUUGUUUUUUAUUUUUAGAAGUCAACUAAAAUUUAUGCCUGUGCAUUGCUGCGGGGUUGAAAAUUAUAUGAAAGAUUAUGCAACUGCAAUUUUUAUAAACAAUGUUCGAGUCAAAAAUUGAAUUACGAACGCCAAUGCAACCAAUGCAAUUUACACACAACCUCAUCAUGAAUGAAACUAAUUAACAAUCUACUGCUGCAAUCGAGAUAACAACCACUUUGCAGAUUUUUGUGGAACCACUUUGCAGGUUUUGUGGAACCACUUUGCAGAUUUUGUGGAACUACUUUAGUGGAACCACUUUACAGGUUUUGUGGAACCACUUUAUUCUAAACAUAAAUCUUAACAUAACUCAGUAAGGUGUAAAAAAAUUAUUAGAGAGAUUGACAAAGCACAAAAAAAUAGAUAUUUGUAAUGAAUUUCAAAUCAAACCAGAGAUUAUAUCAACUGAGUUUGAUACAUAUGUACCUGUUGUGUUUGAUACAUGUUUUAUACGCUUUUCUGCUGAGUUUGAUACAUAUAUACAACCAUAUUAGGUGUUCAACGAUGGGGCUUACAUUCCUAUUUACAAUUGGAUAAAUUUAUACUUCUAUAUUGAUGCAAGUUAUGAUUUUAAUUUGAAUGCCUUCUUCUUCGUUCUGACAAUCAAAAAAAUAAAAAAUGUAUAUAUUUUAAGAUUAGAUAUUACAAACUGAUGUACACAUAAUAAUAGAAUCAGUGUCAAUUUCUCCAUGUUAUAGCAAUACCUCAUAACAAAUCGCGGGCAAACAAAAUCAGUUUUAAGUUUUUUGAAUUUAAAAAAAAGCCAAAACAAAUCGUAAUAGCAGACAAAUCCAGAAAAAGAUAGAAACAAAUAGAAUCAUUUAAAUUUUGUAUGCUGUUAGUUUCUCAAGUAACCCUUACAUAUUCGUUCAAAUUAUGCAUGUAUUGGGGUGCUUUAAGCAGAAUGGUAGUGUAGUAUUCAGAAUUUAUUUUCAAAUGAUCACAAAUGAAUCUCCCACUGUUCUACUUAAAACACCAUUAUUCUACACAAAACUAAGUGAAAAUUGCAUUGUUUUUAUAAAAACAUUGAAAAACAUAUGAACUCAUGCCCAACUUUGAUUAAUCCAUCAUUAAUAGCUGACUAUUUCAACACUAAGAGUUGAUAAGAGAACAUUGGAAAACAUAUGAACAUGCCCACCUAUUAUCAUAUCUGACAUUGCAGUUGAUUAAUCUCACAUAAAUCCACAUCAAAAGAACCCAGAAAUUUAAUGAAGAAUUUUUCAAAACCCACAAAUUUAAACGAAAAACUCUAUAAAAUCAUGAAAAAUUUAAUAAAAUCCAAGUAUAUUAAUCACAAAUUCGAUCAUACAAAUCUUCACGUCCAAUAAGUCUAGAAGGUACCUAGCUUCCUUGCAAAAUCGUAUCUCUACAGGCUAAGGCUCAAAUUUCCUUACAGCAGCCUUGAUUCCCAAUUCAAGCAGUCACAUAUAUAUAUUUAAGUUGAUGCGUUCAAUGGGCAUAUGCACUUAUCAAAAAUUAUGAUACCGAUUGAACACGUUAGAGUAAUGUCCGUGAUUAAAUAAUAAGCAUGAAAAUGACUAACCUGGUAACACAAACUGCUCAAAUUUGGUGGUUAAUACUUAAUACUGCCUUCUACUAUUGUACAUAACAGCAUAAUCGAAACAAUAAGCUAAUUUAACGUGUUGAUACUUGAUAGCUAUUUAGACUUGAAAAUUGAAAACAAAACUAAGGAAAUUGAAAACAAAACUAAGGACAUUAAAGGAAAUACAAAAAUGUUCUAAGAUUGAAGGUGAAAGUAUAAGCUAAUAGCACAGCAAAUAAGCAAGAAAAGUUGGCAAGAUUUUAAAGGGACCAAUAUUAUUUUAGGAAAACUAAUAAAAAAUGUUUGAAAACUUUGAGAUUUAACGAAAAAAUAAAAGAUAAAAUAAAUAGUACCAGAAUUGAUUUUUUAAUAUAAAAAUAUAAUUUUUUAUUAAAAUAAACAGUAACAUAAUUUUUUCGGUAUAAUUCUUUAUUAUUUUCCCAUCAAACAGGAGAACAAAAGAGUCUUCCCAACUACAGUGAUUUGACAAUUUUCAAAAAGUUUGGAAAUACAAAUAAUGGCCCACAGAUCAAAUUAUAUACUAACAAUUCCAGAAGACAUUCAGCAUGUGACCGCUUAAACUUUGAAUGGAUGCGAGAAAUGCAGGAUUGAAGCCAGAAUUGAACCUUAUAUUACCUGUUUCAAUGUUUGGUUACGCUCAUCAUUGAAACUUCUGCCACGCUUCGUUCCAACCGCAUCAAGCUCAUCAAUGAAUAUAAUUGACGGUGAUGUUUCCUUGCCAAAUUGAAAAGGUCUCUAAUGCGAGCUGCUCCUCUUCCAACAAACAUCUGCACAAAUUCCCUGGGCUAGGAAAAACUAAAAUAAAAGAAGAUACUCAAGAACAUAUAACCAUUAACCCACUCCUCCACCGCCUUGACCUCUUUGAUCUGCAAAACCAAAUAACAUUUUUCAACAAAAAAGAACUAAUUUAACAAAGCAAAUACAGCAUACAAAAACAGAUAUUCAAUUUAGCUUCAUUUAGAUUACAGGAAGUCUAUUCAAACAACCAAAAGGAUAUAAAUAAAAAUAUUCAAGAAUCAACCUUUUUCAAAGAUCGCUUGGUCCAGCGUUCAAACCAAAAAACUGAAGACGGUUACCUGAAAUAAAUGAAAAUUAAAAAGUAAUUAAUUUACUCUUAACCAUGGUUUUUUUUCAAGAAUCAGAAAAACCUAAAAAUAUUCCAAACAAUCCCAAAUUUUGGAACUGUUUUAAGCCAACUUACCAUGAAAUUACAGUCGCUUGAGAAAUUUUCUUUAAAUCAGGAAGGAACAGGCAUUCCUGUAUAAGUAAUUCAUUUAAAGGGUGUUUUAGCAACCAUUGUUAGUGAUCAAUGCGAAGGAGGAUACGAGGGAUAAGAGAUAAGAGGGAGGGGGGACAGAUGGGAGAGGCAGAGAACAGUGAGGGAUGAGAGAGAGUGACAGUGUUGGGAGAUGGGGGAGUGGGGGUACAGAAAAUAUUAGAAAACAAAAAUCAAACACACCAAACCAGCUUUUCACAUUUUAUAAUAAUUUUUUUUCUUUUUAACCAAUUAUUUUUUCGAAGUUUUAACGAAAAGCUCUCGGUACUGUUUAUUUUAACGAAAAAUCACAUUUUUACACUAAAAAGUCAAAACGGAUACUAUUCACUUUACCCUUUAUUUUGUUUAAAAAUUUUCAAACCAUUUUCAUUAGUUUUCCUUUAUUUUUUAUCAUUUUCGUGCCAGAAAUUAUGUGCUACAUUUUUUUUAAUCUUAUUUUUUUAUCCAACAACCCAUUACUUUACCCUUUCACUGUACAAAGCAGGCAAUACAAACCGAAUCCAAAGCUGACGACAGACGCAAGGCCGGGAAGGACUAAACAGACUUUUUACUUUAUAAAAUUGUAAACAGUACGGAGACCAAAGCAGAAACCAAGGGUAUUUUUUACCUUUCACUGUUAAUGAACAGUACGCUCUCUAGCAUGAUGAACAGUAUUUUUUGCUGUUGGUAGAUAUAAAUUUUGCCUGCAAGAAGAUUAUUUUCCUUAAAUUUCCUCGAAGAUGUGAACACAAAAAGCAUAAUCUUGUGCCUUUUUACGUAAUGACCUAAUUUGCAUUGACUCAGUGACUUCGUAUCGAUCAGAUUAUUUUCCGGUGAUCCAAUUUGUAGAUCAGUUGAGUUAGUAUUUCUGUUUCGUACAUUACUUUUAGUCUUAGCUGCUCGAUCAUCACUGACCAGGUGGUGUUUUCAAAAGUCAUAAGCACUCUGUAGAGUUGUAGUGCCAUUGCAGCAACAAGAUAUUAUCAAGUACCCUUAGGCCUCGUUUGGCAGCUCAGACUGUACUGACUAUUUCAGUAUAAAUAGUCGUCGGAUAUGACUGACUAAAUUAAUCGAGCAUUUGAUGUUGCAUCUGAUUAAUUUAUACAUCGGAUAAUAGGUCGGACUAUAAUAAUUUUUUUAAAUAAUUUCACAGGAUAAGUGUUGUUAAAAUGAAAAAAAAAGGAAGAAAAACAAGUGAGAAAAAAAAAAUUAAACAUCUUUACACAGACAAAAAUUAACAAAUAAAAAUAAAAAAGGAAGAGAAAAAAACCCAGAUCUCUUCCCAGUUCCCAGUUGUGUCUUCCUAUCUACACCAUCUUCCCCACGGAUCAAUUCCCACCCUCCCAUACGAACCCACUUCUUCAUUUCUUCAAAUCUCCCAAAACCCACAUCGAUUCACCAACCAAAAAAAAAAUAUUCCCAGAAAUUAAAUAUUUUCAAUGCUAAUAAACCAAAUUUUAUCAUCGGAGCCUAGCUCCCUUCCUUGUCGGAGCCCAGCUCCCUUCCUCCUCCUCGUCCUUCUCGUUGGAGCCUAGAUCGGAAAAUUUGAAUCAUCAUCUUCCUCCUUCAACCCACGGAAGUAUUGUUGUUCUGUUAGAGAUCGAAGGCGAACGGAGGAGGUGGGAGGUGUGUGUGUGUGAAGGAGGAGGGAGGAGGGAGAGGGAGGAGGGAGGAACAGAAAGAAAAAAAGAAGAUGACAAAGAUGAACUUGAGAUCCAGACGAGAGAGAGCAGGCGGGUGAGAUAGUUGAAGGAGAGUCAUGCGAGAGAGGAACAGAGUGAACAAGAGAAAUCUCACCUGACUAAAUAAUACAGAGGUUUUGGACGGGAUUCAUAAGCGGGUGGGAGGGGUAUAAAAUAAGUGGGGCCGGAUUAAAUAAUCUGGUGCUUAUUUUAUACGAAGCUCACCAAACAUCCGUUUCGUAUUAUUAAUACU
rnacentral:lncRNA from 1 species